AUGAAUUCAGAGACCUAUUCUCCUAUGAUGAUGGUGGCUAACACUUCUAGUUCCAGUCUGUAAGCUGAAAAAGAAGAACACAUUUAUUUACUGACAGAAAUGAUCUGCUCCAGCCAAACUUUGAACUGAAUUCUAAGAAAUGUAUACAUGAUAAUACAUAUCCUGCUUAGAAUCCAUUUCUUCUUUGGCUUAAAUACCUAUACAAAUAGAUCUUAUGUGCAUAGACAAUAACUUGUUUUUUUUUUUUUAAUUGCAGCAUUUUCAUCACCACUAGUACCAGCAUCACCAUCUUCCUAAAAUAUAAAUUUUAGAAACUGUAAUCCCCAAAUAACUGGGUUAAGAGUAAAAUCACAUCCGAUAUUUUAUGGGCAUCCAGAAAUGCAAGACAGAGUCUAGAUGACUGCUAGACUAGUCACAUGUGAAAAAAAAAAAAAAAAAGAGAAAACUACUCCUCUUUCUGGGAACUAAAAGCAUUUCUGACUGCCCCCCCCCCCCCAGGAAUACAAAGACUUAUAACUAUUCAGCUUUGGUAAUGAGGAAGGAAGAGUAGAGAGCAGAGGCCUUGAUGGAGAGAAAGUGGUGAAGCCAACAGGAGAGAAAGGAAAGCACCACACUCACAAGGGAAGUGUCAGAGGCAAAGGGUCUCAUGGUGGUUAGGAUUCGGCCUCCAUUGCUACUUGAUAUGUAUCACAUGUAACUAAAGGACGCAUGCGCUCAUCUUGUUUUGACUUCAUAUUGCAUUGCAUAGUUUUAGUUCUGAUCACAAAUUUUGCUAUUGUAUGAAGAUUUUGAAGGGACUAGACGAAGGGAGAGCUCAGAUUCUCCUUAUGUUCCUGCUAUGCUCUUGUUCGCUUAGCAUCCUUAGAGCACUCAAGGCUGGUUCUGGUAAAUAAGGCCUUCCUAGAUGUGCACAUGGUACCAGGAGAAUUGUUGCCCUGGGACAAAGGUCCAGACAGACCUUCGUGUUGCACCCUAGGCAUUAGGUCAUUCAUUCAACAUACAUUUGUUUGGUAUAAUUAAUGAGUCAAUUUUAACUAUUUGUGGCAAAGUUUGAUCUCAGUUACAAGGACUCUGAAAACACCGUGUUCUAACAAAAGUGGUAAUGAGUCUGUUUGUUGCUACAAGAAUCCUUCUCCAGUUUUCUGGGGUUUUCCUUGUCUUUAUUUUUCUUGCAGACAAUAGAUCCAGACUGCAGACUGGCCCCUCUCCCUCUCCCAGCCCUGCCUCCACACCUCCUCUUCCCCAGAUCCAUUGUUCCUCUGUUUCCCUUCAAAAAAAAAAAAAAGAGCAGACCUCCCAGAGAACACAGCAUAACAAGAUGCAAUAAGACUAGGCACAAACCCUCAUAUCAAGGCUGGAUGAGGCAACCCAGGAGGAGAAAAAGAAUCCCAUAAGCAGGCUAGGGUUGAUAUCAACAUAGUUCCCAAAAUAGAGAUCUAUCCUGAGUUAUUCUGGUUAUGAGAUGGAAAAUGAGUGCACAUGUGCUUGUUGUUUGAGAACUUCCUUCUUUUUGCUCCCAAGCCCCCAGCUCACAGCCACCAGCUGCCAGCUGCCAGCACAGCUCUUUCUGUACUUAGUUCUUAGAAUUUAGUAACAGAUACUGAGAUCUGUCAUUAGCAACAAAUCUAAAAUGAGAAAAUAAGGCUAGAAAUGAUUUUUCUUAUUUUUUCCCCGCUUUUGCAAUAUCAUGUUUAUGGAAUUUGAAUACUUGCAGCCAUUGUAUAUGAACAGUCUGGUGAGUGGGAGAAGAUGAUCUAGAGAUAACUUUUAGAAAUAACUAUUAAAGCUUGCUUUGAUGCUG
rnacentral:lncRNA from 1 species